GUGUCAGCCGCCGCGGUAAUACGGAGGAUCCAAGCGUUAUCCGGAUUUAUUGGGUUUAAAGGGUGCGUAGGCGGGAUUGUAAGUCAGUGGUGAAAUCUUGCAGCUUAACUGUAAAAUUGCCGUUGAUACUGCUAUUCUUGAGUAUAGUUGAGGUAGGCGGAAUGUGUAAUGUAGCGGUGAAAUGCUUAGAUAUUACACAGAACACCGAUUGCGUAGGCAGCUUACUAAGCUAUAACUGACGCUGAGGCACGAAAGCGUGGGGAUCGAACAGGAUUAGAAACCCUCGUAGUCC
rnacentral:rRNA from 1 species